UACAGAGGUCUCGAGCGUUAGGCGGAAUCACUGGGCUUAAAGCGUGUGUAGGCGGGUCGUUAAGUGCCUUGUGAAAUCCCAUGGCUCAACCAUGGAACUGCUGGGCAUACUGGCGAUCUUGUGCCACCUAGGGGCGAGCGGAACAGAUGGUGGAGCGGUGAAAUGCGUAGAUAUCAUCUGGAACGCCAAUGGUGAAAACAGCUCGCUGGGGGUGUGCAGACGCUGAGACAUGAAAGCCAGGGGAGCGAACGGG
rnacentral:rRNA from 1 species